rnacentral:tRNA from 1 species
CUUGGCAGAAUAAGUGUGUCAAAUUUAGAAUUUGAGUAUGUAAAUCAGUUAGUAGUUAA